rnacentral:rRNA from 1 species
AGCUCCAAUAGCGUAUAUUAAUGUUGUUGCAGUUAAAAAGCUCGUAGUUGAAUUUCUGGGUAGUGCGCCCUGUCCGCCUAUGGUGUGCACAGGGAACGGUGCUACUCAUCCUUCUGAAGAACCCAUCAGUCAUUCAUUUGUCUGGUGGUGGAUCAGAUACUUUACUUUGAAAAAAUUAGAGUGUUUCAAGCAGGCAAUCGCUGGAAUACAUUAGCAUGGAAUAAUAGAAUAGGAUUUUGGUACUAUUUGUUGGUUUUUAGGACCAAAGUAAUGAUUAAUAGGGAUAGUUGGGGGCAUUAGUAUUUAAUUGUCAGAGGUGAAAUUCUUGGAUUUGUUAAAGACUAACUUAUGCGAAAGCAUUUGCCAAGGAUGUUUUCAUUAAUCAAGAACGAAAGUACGC